AGAUCAGUGGCAAAAACCAGCAGCAAUAUCAGCUCAAAAUAGCUGAAAAUGAAAGUGUUCUCCAUCCAAUUUGUUGAAAUUUGAACAGCUGAAAUAAGGCAGAAUUGCAGCAGUUUCAAAGGGUUAAAAUGACUUCCUUUUUGGAUUUUAAAGGUCUAAAAAUACCACAGAAGAACAGAAAGCAUUUUGGGUCAACGGCGUAAGAUCUGAGCAGCAAAAGAUAACAAUUUCAGCCCCCUAAUUUGUUGGAUUGGGGCUGAAAUUUUCAGUUUUCG
rnacentral:misc_RNA from 1 species